rnacentral:rRNA from 1 species
ACGAACGCUGGCGGCGUGGAUAAGGCAUGCAAGUCGAACGCUGAUUUCAGGGUAGCAAAUAUUCUGAAGUCGGAGUGGGCGCAAGGGGUGCGUAACACGUGGGUAAUUUGCCAUGAAGCCCGGAAUAAACUCGCUGAAAAGGCGAGCUAAUACCGGAUGUGAUCUUCGGGAGGCAUCUCCUGAAACCUUAAAAGCUGGGGGACCGUAAGGCCUGGGCACUUCAUGAUAAGCCCGCGGGCCCUAUCAGCUAGUUGGUGAGGGUAACGGCUCACCAAGGCUAAGACGGGUAGCUGGUCUGAGAGGGACGACCAGUCACACUGGAACUGAGACACGGUCCAGACACCUGCGGGGUGGGCAGCAGUCGAGAAAUUUUUCUCAAUGGGCGAAAAGCCUGAAGGAGCGACGCCGCGUGGGGGGAUGAAUGGCUUUCGGCCCGUAAAACCCCUGUCAUUUGCGAACAAAACCUUGUCAUUUAAAAAGAUGACGAAGCUGAUUGUAGCGAAAGAGGAAGGGGACGGCUAACUCUGUGCCAGCAGCCGCGGUAAUACAGAGGGUCCCAAGCGUUGUUCGGAUUCACUGGGCGUAAAGGGUGCGUAGGUGGUCGGGUAAGUCCUGAUGUGAAAUCUCCGAGCUUAACUCGGAAAACUGCAUCGGAUACUAUUCGGCUCGAGGGUUGGAGGGGGGACUGGAAUACUUGGUGUAGCAGUGAAAAUGCGUAGAUAUCAAGUGGAACACCAGUGGCGAAGGCGAGUCCCUGGACAACUCCUGACACUGAGGCACGAAAAGCUAGGGGGAGCAAAACAGGAUUAGAUACCCUGGUAGUUCCUAGCCGUAAAACGGUGCACGUUUUGCUGUAAAAGGAAUCGACCCCCUUUUGUGGCGAAGGCCAACGCGUUUUAAAACGUGCCGCCUGGGGAAGUACGGUCGCAAGAUUUAAAACUCAAAAGAAAUUGACGGGGGCCUGCACAAGCGGUGGAGUAUGUGGCUUAAUUCGAUGCAACGCGAAAGAACCUUACCUGGGCCUUGGACAUGUAUCUAGUAGAAGGGUGAAAGCCUGACGAGGGUAGCAAUACCAGGAUACACAGGUGCUGCAUGGCUGUCGUCAGCUCGUGUCGUGAGAUGUUGGGUUUAAGUCCCGCAACGAGCGCGCAACCCCUGCGUCCAGUUGCCACCCCUUAAUUGGGAGCACUUUGGACGGACUGCCUCAUUUCAAUGAGGAGGAAGGUGGGGGAUGACGUCAAGUCAGUAUGGGCCCUUACGGCCAGGGGCUGCACACGUACUACAAUGCCCGGCACAGAGGGAAGCAAGACCGCAAGGUGGAGCAAAUCCCAGAAAAACCGGGCUCAGUUCAGAUUGAGGUCUGCAACUCGAACCUCAUGAAGCUGGAAUCGCUAGUAAUGGCGCAUCAAGCUACGGCGCCGUGAAUACGUUCCCAGGCCUUGUACACACCGCCCCGUCACAUCAUGAAAGCCGUUUGUACCCGAAAGUCGCCCCUUGAAAGGUGCCGAAGGUAUGGAUGGUGAUUGGGAUG